rnacentral:lncRNA from 1 species
UUUGUGUCUUUGUGAGCGCCGCCCGAGCUCCAUUCCCUCAGUCCCUCUCCCCUCUCCUAGUCUUCCUCUCCUCCGGACCUCCGCCCUCUCCUCCCCCUUGCCGACUCCUUCCGCCUCCCCGUCGACGGCGACCGCAGCGGCUCGACGGGUUCCUAGGACGUUGCUUCCGCCUUCUUGGGGCUUUUCGUCGUCUCGCGACUUGCCGGCGGACGGUGACUGCUUUGUCUUCUCCACGGCGACGGCCUCCGUCUCCUGCCCUAUCCGUGCGUUCUCUCCCCUUCUCCGCUAGUAGUAUAGUCAUGCUAUCUCUGAUUUCCUUCCGCCAUCUCUUUCUGUCUCUGUUUCUUGAUCUUAGGGAUCUUGGAUCUCAAAGCGGCGGAGGACGUGAGGGCGCUCUUUCUCUUCUUCAAAGCGGCGACUACUGUGGAGUCCAGCAGCGCUGCAGCAGGUAUGCCGGUGGAGGGAAAUGGUUUGGUUUUUACUUUUUAUGGUUUGAUUCAUGGCGAAGGCUAGGGCUUCCAGAUUUUUUCCCCCACCCGAAUCGAAGCCGUCGAUGAUUUCCGGAGAGAAAAAAAUUUGGGGAUGGCGCCUAGAAUCCUAGAUCAGAGAUUUUGAGGGCUCCCGUUUCCAUUUUCUUUUAUUUUUUCCAAUAAAAAAAUUGUAAUCUGUUAAUUUCUCUCCNNNNNNNNNNNNNNNNNNNNNNNNNNNNNNNNNNNNNNNNNNNNNNNNNNNNNNNNNNNNNNNNNNNNNNNNNNNNNNNNNNNNNNNNNNNNNNNNNNNNNNNNNNNNNNNNNNNNNNNNNNNNNNNNNNNNNNNNNNNNNNNNNNNNNNNNNNNNNNNNNNNNNNNNNNNNNNNNNNNNNNNNNNNNNNNNNNNNNNNNNNNNNNNNNNNNNNNNNNNNNNNNNNNNNNNNNNNNNNNNNNNNNNNNNNNNNNNNNNNNNNNNUUUAUCACAAAUUAGCAAGUUCAAACAAAACCAGUGAUCCACUAAAACCUACGUUAAUGAUAUGUUGGUAGUGAUCUAUUAUAUGUUAGGAGAGUGAUGCAAAAGCAGAAUUUGUGAGUGUUGGCUUCUAAGUCUUGAUACAGUUCCUCUGGGAAAGGAGCGAAGCAAUCCUAGUUUGACUUAAAUCAAAUGCAAAGUAAGCUACCAUGUCAGUAGACCUGAGCCCAAUAAACAACAUGAAAUUGAUCUUGUCAAGAGAGGAACCAGUCUACCGAUCCAGAUAGAAACUUCAUACAAGUUGUAACAGUUUCUCUUAUAUGGAUUUGAGAGGACUUCGCAUGGAAAGCACUAUAGCAGAUAUCUAGUGAUGCACUAAAAACAUAAGUUGAACAAUCCAAAACUGCAACAAAAUAAGCUAAUGUUAAAAUAAAUUACAAUUAAUGGGUUUCCUUGCAGCAAAAUUAGGCCAAAGAAAAGAGGAAAAAAACAACAGAAAAUCUACUAAUGAUGCAGCAACAAUUAACCUGAAAUAUCAGAAGAUAAAUAACCUCUUCAAGGUAGAAGAAAUUGCAUUUGCCUUUUCUAGAUUUUCCUGUUUGGUGCUUGUGCUUGGUGAAUGGUGGUUUGGUGGUGUACGAUUUUAUGUAAUUUCANNNNNNNNNNNNNNNNNNNAAAGUAUGUAAUUAUUAUAUUUUAUUAUGGGUAUUUUGGUAAAAAAAGCUUUCCGACAAAGCUCAAAACAGCUUUUUCGAAAAGCUCCAAAUUGGAGCUUUCCCCAAAAAGCUGUUUUUAGCUUUCUAAAAAAAGCUAAAACAGCUUUCCAAAAUUUUUAUCAAACACCUUUUUUUUAUCCAAAAGUGCUUUUGAUUCGAAGAUGAUAACCCAUUAAACUAUUGAAAUGCAAUAAUCCAUUUGUUUGAUUUCUUUCGAUAAGCUUCGUGAAAAAUCACCGCUUUGGGUUCGGAGAACAGGUGAAAGCGGGCCAUGAGACGCCCCGAAGGUUGGGAUGGGGGGUGGGUUUAAAUCAUAGGUUUUCCCCUCUCCUUGCAGUAAGGAUAGUUUUUAAAUUACAUAACUUCUCGACAUUGAACUAAAGUUGUUCAGUUAGUCUCCUCUUUCUAGUUCGAUGUUAGGAUACGAAAAAAAAGAUAUUUCAUCUUCAUGUCAUGAUGAAAUUUUUAUAAUGCGAGACUAGUUUUUGAAAAGUCGUAUAUAUAUGUGUAUGUAUUCUGUUUGAUAGGAACCCACUUACUAUUGAUGGAAUUUCGAGCAAAAGAAAAUAGAAAAACAGAGAUAUAGGUAGAAGAAAGAGUAUUCGAUCAAUUCAAGAGGUUUUGGACCUCGAAUAGCCUUUAAACUAUUUUUAUUAAAUUCAUUGCUUGUCUAGAGCACUACGUAUAUAUAGAUUCAGAGUAAAUUGUCCUACAAGAAUAAGAAAAAGCAAAAUAGGAAUAUGAUGUAGCCAAUUUUUAUUAGACUUGGACUCCUCCUAAUUCUUGUGCUAAAACAAAUUAAAAUUAGGAUCCUAAGAUAAGAAGCAUAUCAUUCCCUUUCACUUCUAGAUGAUCUUGUUCUCAAGGUUAUAUUUGUCUAGGUGGUACAUGGCGAUCAUCUUCAUCUUCAUCAUCUUGUGAAGUGUCAAUAUGUGCAGGUUCGAUAAGAAAAAUUAUCUUUUUNNNNNNNNNNNNNNNNNNNNCCAAGCUUUGCUAUCACUAGUUUGUAUUUCCCAGAACCCUAUACUUGUUUAUUUUGCAAUAUCACAGUAUGUGGCAUGAUAGAGUAAAGAACCAGUUGAAUAUCAAGGAUCAUUGAUAUACCUAGUAACAUUAUUGAAUCUCAUAAUUAUUCACAUAAAUAAGUCAUAUUGAUAACCUUCUAAAGUUUCAAACUAAAUCCUCAUGGUCUGAGAUGUGCUUUAAUCCCGAGGAAUUAAAAAUCAACCUAAAUUCCAUGCAAUUCAAUGCACAGAAGUGGUAUUAUACCUCCAAAUAUUGAUAAAAAUAUCAGGAUAUUGUUCAUUGUUCUUCCUAACAGAACAUUCGCUGUUACACCCAUAAUUUGUAUGCACCCCUAUACCUAAAUGGCAUUGCAGCAUACAGUUAGCAUAAGAAUUGCCUCGCGUAAUUAAGAUUCUGGUCGGCUAUCCACAUCCUGUAAGACAAUAUGCUAAUUUCUGCAUCUAACCUUUUGCAAGCAUCCCAAAUUGAUGGAAGUAUAAAAUUAAACAGUGAAAACCCAAGAACUACCUUAGUACAAUAUGGUCAAAAAAAUAAAUUAAAAAAAAUAACAGUAUGCACUUGGAAACUAACAUUAUACUAUUUUGAUUCCUCCUUUCGAGCUGUUGGUCAAUAUGUUCUCCAAAUUUCUCUCUAGUAUCUAUGUACCGCUUUUUUCUCACAGGGAAUACCCAAUUUUAAUGCACAUAUACAAAGUGCAUAGAUAUAAAGGAGAUAUUUGAGACCAUAUGAACUUAUGUAUAGAAUGAACGGCUUAAAAUGCCAAUAAAAAUAAAGAAAUGGGAGGGACAGGGGCCAAAAAAUUAAGUGUGAAUGAAUUGUUAUUGAAACAUAGCAGUUAAAAUUCAGAUCAACUAGAGAACAGCCUAUUUUUAUGCUGCUGUGGUACUGUGGCAAAUGGAACUUGAUUGCAUGACAGUUUUCCUCCCAAAUUCUGCACUCUUGGAAAAGGUGAUUUAUAAGUUUUAACCCGUAUAGCAAAGUUUUAGUGCAUCGUACUAAAAAAUCAGAAGCCAACCUACAAAAUAGAAGUGAAACAAGAAGAGAGAAGAAGAAAACUGAGAAUAUACCUAAACCUAAUAGGAGGCUUUAUCCAAACACCAUCAAAUGGAAUAAUCAUUGCAAUGUUCUGUAUUCUGGAGCUAUUGUAUACAGCAAUCACUGCUGCCUUUGAAGCUCAUCAUGACGAAUAUAAAUAAUUUCCUCAGCAGAAGAUCAUAACUGAAUAAUAGCACAUCCAUCUCAUGUAAAUGAGAUCAGCAAGACUUACAGCAAUAUUAUGAUAACUUCAACUUCAUUGCUUGGUAAAACUUCAAUUUAUUAUGGAGGAUGUAUCUAGUUAGCUUGACUCUAAUUAUUAAAGUUCUAAAUUAAAAUAAAAUUGCAUAUGCAGACAAAAUUCAAACAUACAGAAGUCAGUUAAAAGAUAUGAUAAAGAAAGGGGCUUACCAUCUCAAUAUUAUAUUUAACAGCUUCACUCCUUAAAGUUUCAGUCUCCUCUAAAGGAACAUCUGGCACCACAAGUCCUGCAAAAUGAUACCUGUUACUACUGAUUCACCAAAAAAGGCUGAUAGCAGAAGGUAGUAAUCCAGCAUUUUUUUGUCAAUAACAUCAACAAAAAAUUGCAAACACAACGCAAAAAAAUCACAAAACAAAUAAAUAAUCAAGAACUGGACUUUGCUAAAUGAAGGCAUGCAUUAAAUUUUAUAAUGUUAAGAGAAAGUAACAGCAAGAUAAAAAGAAAAAUUUUGGUACUUUUAGGGAAAAGAACAUGGAGACCAUUAUGUGGAAUUGUCAGGUACAUCAGCAUAGAAGAUUAGCACAGUAUCCCUAAAUGGUUUGUAAAAUAAUUGGGCCAUUUAGGCACUAUACCCUUUAAUUCAAAUAGGAUUUUGACCGGUGGCUGACAAUCCCUCAAUGAUAUAUAAAAACAUCUAGCUCAUCUAGGGACAGGCCCAAGUCCAUAUGACACUACAAGGCUGCAAAUGAAUCAAGAUGUUCAAGAACCACUAGGGUUAAAAUUCAACAACAGGCUCAAAUGAGCUUGAUUGAUUCAUCGUAGCCAGGAAACUUCUAUCUAGGGUGGCAUACCUGCUUCAAAAACUCCCCAAAAAUUCCAAUCAUCACCCGCUUCUAAACACUUCCUUGCUUACAGGGAUUUUAAAAUAUCCACUUCCUAUACUUGCUCUAAAUUUUGGCAACCAAAAUUCGAUUACAAAACAAGCCAAGCUCAAGCAUUAAUUUGAGGAUCAACUCAUAAAUUAACAAAGCCUGGACAAACUCUGGCUUGACAAGAAAAAAAAAAAGGAAGAAACUCAGCUGCUCGAGCUUGGCUCAAUAAAUAGGCUUGUUUUUGGUCAUGAGGAAUUCAAAGAUUAACCCAUAUGACAUUUGCAAUUAAGAUCUACAUAUAUCUUAGCCAUACCGGCAAUACAUGCUACCUUUGGGUUAACAAGGGAUUACAUUCAUGCUUUUCCUUAUAUGCAACUCUUUUUUGUCACGCUAAGUUUUAGUGGUGCAGUCAGGUUCUUUUAUUAUGUUGGAAGCCAGUAACUUAAAUAUGAGAAGCUCUCAAGUUGAAAUUUUUAGUUACAGCCUACUAUAUUAAUUAAAUGCACUUUGAACCCCUCAUAUCAUGUCUGCAUGUUUUAACCCAUCUAGGAGGGUGCAUACUGUGAAUUUUGACUCCACAAUAAUAAAUUUCCUGUUACGAGAUUUUCCAAUAAAAUGAUAGCAAAGCAUUGCCAGUAUUAUAUCCAUCCUGCUUUUUUAAAAAAAAUUUCCCGCUCUCUUCAAUUUUUUUCACUCAGAUUCUUAUCUUAUUUCACAAGUUCCUUCAAAAUUUCAUAAUUACAAAACAUUUCAGCACAAUUUUGUGAACAUUAACAUACCUGGUCGAGAUAUGGCACCUUAAUUGACCAAUUGUUUGAUAAAAAAAAUAUUUCCAGGCUUCAUGACGCCAUACAUGGCUACAACUUUUCCUCUUUCUCCACGAUAAAGAGAAAAGGAUAAACAACAAAACCAUAAGUUUUCAUGAUUCAAGAGCUCAACAUAUUAAGCCUUGACCUAAAACUAACAUAUAGUUUAUUAAAGUUAUAUAGGUUUGAAGACAAUAGUCUAAAGAUAGUCAAAGAAGCAAAAAGAGGGAGGCUGAAGACGUGUUUGGUGUUGCUUAAAAAAAGUCUUUUGCAGCCCUUAAAGCAAAAAAAAAGUUUCAAGAAAAUGCUAGGUAAAAGUAUACGAGAAAUGCUUCUACAGGAAGAAAAAGUCAAAAAAAAGUGCUUUUAGGAGAAGCUAGAAAAUCUAGCUCCUGGUUUCUUCUUUUGUGGGAGCUUUUUAAAAAGCAAAAGCAACACCAAUCAUGCCCCCACUAAGUUUACUUUCAUGUGAACGGCAUAAUAACUUUGUUAAAUGACCUGAAAUGGAUGUUUUAAUAGCAUAAAAGUUUCAGUCUUAUAGUCCUGAUUAACAUAAGAAAAGAGGAUCUAGAUUCAAAAUAAUAAUUCAUUGCAUAACAUGUAUAACCAAUUUAUCAUAUUUCCUGUCAUAUUUUUAUAUCAUUAACUUGACCAGGAGCAUAUAACAAACCAAUGAUCUGAACAACAUAAACCAGUACAUAGUUGAAAGGAAAAGUCUUAAUGCAUCUACAAUGAACACAAGAAUACUAACUUAACAGAGUUGCUCAGGUUAAAAUUGACAUUGCAAAACAUUAGUAAGUGCAUUCAUAUGUCAAUUUACCAUGUACACCAGCAUUUUUUAUCGUAGACAUGAACUUCUCAACUCCACGCUUUAGUAUGGGAUUGUAAUAUGUAAACAGAGCUAUUGGACAAGACAGUUGAGGUACUACCUGCUUAGACAGUAUCAAUAGCAUAACAUGAGAACCUAUCAUAGAAUUGUUAAUGAGUUCCACUAAUUCAAAAAGUUAAGCUGCAAAUGUAUUGAAAGCAAUCUCCUGCGAUAACUGACACCAUAGAAAAAAAUGAAAAUGGGUAAAAGAUGUUAUUUAGCAUCAGUAACAAACAUCAACACCUCCCUUAACUUUGAAACAAAGAACAGGUAGAUAAUUUGCAUGCACCUGAUUCAAGUCAAAUUAGAGACUUUAAUUAGUCAGACUCAGUUUCUCUUUUCUAGCUUUUUUCCUUUCUUCAUUUUCCUUCUUUUCCCUUUUUUCCUCCAUUACAUAUGCUAACAGAGUUCAGAGUCAACAAGGAGAAUUUGACAGCAUUCUAGGUGAUGAAUUAAGAUUCUUCUAAACAUAAGAGAGUCAAAACAAGCGUCAAAGGCUAAAGUUAUCAUGGCUUACUGAUGAAGUUCUAGUGCAUGCACAGAUUCUGUUCAGGUACAUAUGUGCAUGUGUGUGCAUAUAAUGCGAGAGAGAGAGAGAGAGAGAGAGAGAGAGAGAGAGAGAGAGAGAGAGAGNNNNNNNNNNNNNNNNNNNNGAGAGAGAGAGAGGAAUUAACGAAAGAAUAGUGCUUAGGAUAGUCAUACCUCCCUUAACAUGGAUAUAACUGCAUCAAAGUUGGUUCCUUUUGCUAGGGCACGCGUAGCAGCAGCCUAAAAUUACAUAUACAUAUGUAUAACCAAUACACAUUCAACUGUAAGAUUGAAUAUGAAGGAGAAAACGUUUGACAGGAAAACCUGGAUAACAGGUCCAUCUGCUAAAGGAUCAGAGUAGGGUAUGCCCAAUUCUAUCAAGUCUGAACCACAAGAAUCAAGAACUUUCAAUGCUUUCGAGGUUGUUGACAAAUCAGGAUCACCAGCAGUUAAGAAAGGUAUAAAUGCAACCUAAGGAAUUGGAGACAGACAGCGGUUAGAAGCCAAGUAAAAAAUACAAGCAGAUUCCCUAUCAAAUUAAGGUUGUAUUGCAACAAGCCUACAGCAAGCCUACUGAAAAAAAUGAAGUUACAAGGAAAACAGCAGAUAUUUGCUUGUUCAACUAAUGAAUGCAAUCUCUGGUUGCAAAUUUGGCAUUAAUAAUCAUAUUAGUGACUGAAACGCAUAGGACAAGUAUAUUUCAGAUCAAUCUACUUCCAAGAUAUUUAGAACCAAGAGAUAUAUUGGUGUUACGCAUGAUUUGCCAACACAAGUUGUGCUCGCAAGUAUAUUGUUUGGUAGGUUUUUAUUAUGACAAGUCUGGCCUUAUGGUAGAUGCAUAGAUAGAGCAAUUAGAUAGAUGUGCAUGUGUGUGUGCACGUGCAAAUCAAGCAUGUCCAAGAUUUGUUUUUUUACUACAACAGAUCCCAAGAAAUAGAUAAAAGAAGCAGCAAGCAGAUGACAUAUGAAAUCUACAAAUAAAGGGGCACAAUGCGUGUCAGACCUCACCAAGAUUUGACUUUUACUCCAUCCAAACAGCAAAUGAACGAAAUCAAAACUCCCCUAGCUAAUCUUCCACGGACAGAAAACAUAUAAAUCAUCAGGGAAAGGGAAUACAACAGCAAAGGAAGAAAAAGAAGAAAAGAAAACACCUGUUCGGCUAAAAGGAGCGCAAAUUUUAGAAUUAGAAGAACAGAUGCAGAAAGAACACAAAAAACGCAUGGAAAGAAAACCCAUUAAACAAAAAUCAGGAGUCAGCGUUCAUAUGACAAUACAAAAUCGACAAAAUUAGGCACAUCAAAUGCCAGUCAAACUUUUACUCUCCAAGAUUUGAUUUUUAAUCCGUCAAACAGCAAAAGAACUAGAUUCUGUCGAACCUGGAACGAAAUCCAGUGACAAAACCACGAAAAUAAUCAAGAAAACGCAAUCCACGGGCAAAAGGAAGAAAAUGGUACGAACACAAAAGCAUUCAUAGGGGAAACACCGCCGCAUACUUUUCCUUGUUCCCUCAACCGGGAGAAGGUCUCGGAGAUCCCAACCGUCGGGGCGACGCUAAGAGAAGCCAUGGUGGACAGGGAUUUGGGGGCAGAGACAGUCUGGAAGGAGGGCCGAGGAAAAGAGACGCGGGGAGAUUUGCUCGAGGGGAGAAAAGAGAAGGAGACUUUGAAAGCGGUGGCCAUCACCCUUCGGAUGUCGGGACGAGACCUCGGUCUGGGCUUUGCGAAGGUUUUAUUUUGUCAUUGCGCCACACGCCCGGCAAGUGCCGUUUCUGGAUUCGUAAGGGCUUGGAUUCAUCAUUUUGACCCUGUUGAGAUUCGUCUGAGACAUAUGGGAUUUGGGCAUUCUUGAUUUGGGUCAAAUGAGAUUUUACCAUGGAAAUGUUGGAUGGGCAAGGGUUCCAAGGAUUGUCCCCACCCAUGGACAUAUAACAUCUUUGGUGCGAAUGAAGAAGUCAACUUAGUGCAAAUCCACAUUUGAAUCGUCGUUUCAAGAUUUAUGAAGAGAUGAAUGAAAACAUUCAAAGUGCUCUAAGAUUUACACAAGUGUCAUUCAAUAGUCAACGUUUGUUAGGAUCCGUGCAGGGGUGUGUUUAGUCCUACAUCGAUUAUUCGCUGGAUAGAUCUUGGAUACUUAUACAAGAUCAAGGAACCAAAAUAAUACUUUUCGGCUAGCCAUUUUUGGAUAAGGUAUUGGGUUGUUACAAAUGAUAUCAGAGCGGAUCCGGCUCAUAAUCUAUGUGAAUUAGAGGAUACCGCAACACAUCCAUUGGGACUGACCACGAACCGAUCGUGAUGUUUGUGAUUAGAUUUGAAUGAAUUUGAACACUUAGUCUGAUGAGGACGUCGGGGCUUGAACGGGAGAGUAUGUGAGGAUCGUGCGAGUUUGUGUUUAGUCUCACAUCGGUUAUUCGUAGGGGUGGCAAAAUAUGACCCGACCCGCCAACCCGACCCGUGUUCGAUCCGCCAUAAACAGGUUUGGGUUUGGCUUAAACAGGUUCGGGUCGUAAACAGGUUGACCCGUUUAAUCUGUUUAUUAAUUGGGUCGGAUACAGAUUUUAAAUUCCUGACCCGUUUAACCCGUAUAACCUGUUUAAUUGUUGGGCUAAUAAAUAAGGGCCAGCCCAACUCCCUGCCUCGGCCCGCUUUCACCGCCUCGGCCCAGCUCCCUGCUUCGGCCUGCAUUCACCGCGAGGUCCACCGUCUGCUUUCAGCCUUUCACCGCGAGGUUGAUUGGAUCGUAAAGGCGUCGCUAAGGCCGUAAGGCGUUGCUUCUCCUUAGGUUUAGCCGUUUAGGGUUUGUCUUUGUGAGCACCGCCCGAGCUCUAUUCCCUCAGUCCCUCUCCCCUCUCCUAGUCUCCUCUCCUCCGGACCUCCGCCUCCGCCCUCUCCUCCCCCUUGCUGACUCCUUCCGCCUCCCCGUCGACGGCGACCGCGGCGGCUCGACGGGUUCCUAGGACGUCGCUUCCACCUUCUUGGGGCUUUUCGUCGUCUCGCGACUUGCCGGCGGACGGUGACUGCUUUGUCUUCUCCACAACGACGGCCUCCACCUCCCGCUCUAUCCGUGCAUUCUCUCCCCUUCUCCGCUAGUAGUAUAGUCAUGCUAUCUCUGAUUUCCUUCCGCCAUCUCUUUCUGUCUCUGUUUCUUGGUCUUGAGGAUCUUGGAUCUCAAAGCGGCGGAGGACAUGAGCGUGCUCUAUCUUUUCCUCAAAGCGGCGACUACUGUGGAGUCCAGCAGCAUGUAUGCCGGUGGAGGGAAAUGGUUUGGUUUUUACUUCUUA